GACGAACGCUGGCGGCGUGCUUAACACAUGCAAGUCGAACGGAAAGGCCCUGCUUUUGUGGGGUGCUCGAGUGGCGAACGGGUGAGUAACACGUGAGUAACCUGCCCUUGACUUUGGGAUAACUUCGGGAAACUGGGGCUAAUACCGGAUAGGAGCUCCUGCUGCAUGGUGGGGGUUGGAAAGUUUCGGCGGUUGGGGAUGGACUCGCGGCUUAUCAGCUUGUUGGUGGGGUAGUGGCUUACCAAGGCUUUGACGGGUAGCCGGCCUGAGAGGGUGACCGGCCACAUUGGGACUGAGAUACGGCCCAGACUCCUACGGGAGGAAGCAGUGGGGAAUAUUGCACAAUGGGCGGAAGCCUGAUGCAGCAACGCCGCGUGCGGGAUGACGGCCUUCGGGUUGUAAACCGCUUUCGCCUGUGACGAAGCGUGAGUGACGGUAAUGGGUAAAGAAGCACCGGCUAACUACGUG
rnacentral:rRNA from 1 species